ensembl:misc_RNA 7SK 7SK RNA
AGAUGUGAAGUGAUUUGGCUACAACACUAACCCCUUGUUCAUUUCCAGGGUAUAUUCAACUGGUCUGGCUGGUGAGGUAGAUGUUACCAUCCUUCUCAUUUCUCUUUGCUUCAACUUAAAUUUUACAUUCAGGAUAAGACAUUUAGUGUGCCUCUUUUGGGACUGAUGAAGAUCCCAAACAAGCAAUGUGGGGGUAAGAGUCUGAAUCUAGACCCUUACAGCAGGAGUCUGUCUGUCGUAUAGG